rnacentral:rRNA from 1 species
AACGAACGCUGGCGGCAUGCCUAACACAUGCAAGUCGAACGAGACCUUCGGGUCUAGUGGCGCACGGGUGCGUAACGCGUGGGAAUCUACCCUUAGGUUCGGAAUAACUCAGGGAAACUUGAGCUAAUACCGGAUGAUGACUUCGGUCCAAAGAUUUAUCGCCUAAGGAUGAGCCCGCGUAGGAUUAGCUAGUUGGUGAGGUAAAGGCUCACCAAGGCUACGAUCCUUAGCUGGCUGAGAGGAUGAUCAGCCACACUGGGACUGAGACACGGCCCACGACUCCUACGGGAGGCAGCAGUGGGGAAGUAUUGGACAAUGGGCGGAAAGACCUGAUCCAGCAAUGCCGCGUGAGUGAUGAA